GUGAGGUAACGGCUCACCAAGGCGACGACGGGUAGCUGGUCUGAGAGGAUGGCCAGCCACAUUGGGACUGAGACACGGCCCAGACUCCUACGGGAGGCAGCAGUGGGGAAUAUUGCGCAAUGGCCGCAAGGCUGACGCAGCGACGCCGCGUGCGGGAUGAAGGCCCUAGGGUUGUAAACCGCUUUCAGUAGGGAAGAAAAUGACGGUACCUACAGAAGAAGGUGCGGCCAACUACGUGCCAGCAGCCGCGGUGACACGUAGGCACCAAGCGUUAUCCGGAUUUAUUGGGCGUAAAGAGCUCGUAGGCGGUUUGGUAAGUCGGGUGUGAAAACUCUGGGCUCAACCCAGAGAGGCCACUCGAUACUGCUAUGACUAGAGUACGGUAGGGGAGCGGGGAAUUCCUGGUGUAGCGGUGAAAUGCGCAGAUAUCAGGAGGAACACCAGCGGCGAAGGCGCCGCUCUGGGCCGUAACUGACGCUGAGGAGCGAAAGCAUGGGUAGCAAACAGGAUUAGAUACCCUGGUAGUCCAUGCCGUAAACGUUGGGCACUAGGUGUGGGUCUCAACCAACGAGAUCCGCGCCGUCGCUAACGCAUUAAGUG
rnacentral:rRNA from 1 species